rnacentral:rRNA from 1 species
CCUACGGGAGGCAGCAGUAGGGAAUAUUGCUCAAUGGGGGAAACCCUGAAGCAGCAACGCCGCGUGGAGGAUGAAGGUUCUCGGAGUGGAAACUUCUUUUGAUAGAGAAGUUAAUGACGGUAUCUAACGAAUAAGCACCGUCUAACUCCGUGCCAGCAGCCGCGGUAAUACGGAGGGUGCAAGCGUUACUCGGAAUCACUGGGCGUAAAGAGCGCGUAGGCGGGAUAGCAAGUCAGAUGUGAAAGCCUAUGGCUUAACCAUAGAACUGCAGUUGAAACUGUUAGUCUAGAGUAUGGGAGAGGUAGGUGGAAUUCUUGGUGUAGCGGUAAAAUCCGUAGAGAUCAAGAAGAAUACUGAUUGCGAAGGCGACCUGCUAGAACAUAACUGACGCUGAUGCGCGAAAGCGUGGGGAGCAAACAGGAUUAGAUACCCCGGUAGUC